AAAAUAAUAUUUUAUGAGUAAAAUUACUAUACAUUUAAAAGUACAAGACAGUUGGUGUUUUCAAAUUUUUAGUCAUUAAAUCAGUUUUUUUGGCCAUUUAUAAACUUUAUAUUAAUAUUAUUAUUCUAGAAAGAUCACUCAAUCACAAUAAAAAUUACUAUCAUUCCGACCUUAAAAUUUUUGAUCUAAGAACCAAAAUAUUGGAAGCACAACUGCCUUAUGCUUCUAAAAGUACAGUAACUCUAAAAUAUUUUAUUUUAUUUUAAAUUAUAUUUUUGAGGAACCAUACCCGUCUUACUAAUACACUUAAAAAAAUCUAUAAAUUUUACAUUCUAGUAUUCAAAAACUAUUAUUAUCUUCUUAAUCUUUUUUAAAUAUUAAUUUUUUUUUCAAAAAUAUUAC
rnacentral:lncRNA from 1 species